rnacentral:rRNA from 1 species
UACGGGGGAGCAAGCGUUGUUCGGAUUUAUUGGGCGUAAAGAGCGUGUAGGCGGCCACACAGGUCUGCUGUGAAAACUCGGAGGCUCAACCUCGAGCUGUCGGUGGAAACCGUGUGGCUAGAGUCCGGAAGAGGAGAGUGGAAUUCCCGGUGUAGCGGUGAAAGUGCGCAGAUAUCGGGAAGAACACCCGUGGCGAAGGCGGCUCUCUGGGACGGUACUGACGCUGAGACGCGGAAAGCGUGGGGAGCCGAACGAGG